AUUUUACUGGAAUGUAAAGGUGGGUAGGAUUUAAAAAUUAAUGAAAUCAUUGGAGCAAGACUUGAAAUGAUGUUUGGGAUAUUUUCCUGCUGGUAAAAUCUGUUGUGGUCUUUGGGAUUGUGCUUUUAAUUAAUUAUAUAGAUAGCUACAAUAGAUUGUAGUUCAGAAAAGUCUAAACUAUAUGAACUGUAAGACAGUAAACUGGAACACACUACAUCUGGAUAUUAAUUUCCACUCUUACACUUUUUCACAUUUUUAAGUAACUCCUUAGGAAAUGAAUUAUUAAAAGCUCAAAUUCUCAGCAGAGCCAUAAUCUCUUCCAUCUUAGUUACCUCCACCUGAGUCUUUAUGUGCCAAAACAAAUAUUAACACAUUAGCUUGUCCAAAUAAUCUCACAAAGUUGUUUCUGUUUAUGCCCAAUUCCAAGGCAAAAACUGGUGAACCUAUUUUGGCCUACUUCACUUUUAGUAAUUUUUAUUUGUCAAACUUUAAUUUCCCAAAUCAUCAAGCUAAUUUUUACUACUAAACAAAAAUAACCAGAGUAAACACAAACUGCAGUUUUCAGGCAAAUAUUUAAUCUCUCACUGUGCCACCUUUAGCAACUGCAAAUCCAAAGCAAUUUGGAUUUUGCAACCACAUUAUGGCUGCAAAACCCUCUGAAAACCCUCCAAUGUGGUUCAACUAAUACAUUUCUUCAAAGAAUAGAGGGUCAAAAGUAACUUUGAGAUCUUUUUGCUGCACUUUUUGUUACAUUUUAAUAAUCUUUGUUGGGUUCUCCUGUAAAAAAAUGUUUGGGAUGUAUUUAGGAUCAGUCAGUCAGGUUUCUUCUACUCACAUACAGCGCAAAAAUAUAAGAAAUAUUACGUACAAAAAGUAAAAAUAAACAUUUCUUAUAGCGGUUGGAGAAGCACGCGCUUCUGGAUUCCAAAAACAGACUGCAGGAAGCAAAAGGAUGAAGAGGAUAUGUUUACAAUUCCAGAGAGAAAAUGAGGACCAAAUAUGUCUGUGUAAGCUACACCAAAAUGUGCUGAAAGCUGGGUUGCUGAAACUCAGUAAGGGCUGGCUCAUAAUAGGAGCUGGUGGAAAGCAAUGAGGGAGACUAAUUUGAGAAGAUGUGGGUAACGGUUAUCCUACCCGGUCAAACAGGUCCGGCACACACGCAGGUGCUCGGAUAAACGGACAUGAAGCAGUGCACACACAGCUCAUUAUCAUGUUUAGUGACAUGGUAAAGCUUUCUUUGGCAUCUCAGAAAUAAAUACAAUUGGUUUUUUUGUUUUUUUUGCCCCCAAUUCUGGGACUUUUAGUCUUCAUCAAGUUUGAAGGUUUUUCUUCUGCAUACAUCCAUUUGACCUCUAAUGGCCAUCUUUAAAAUUUAAAGUGCAGUGUUUCCUCAAAGGAUUGGCAGAUUAAAGAAAAAGAAAUUGGAAGUUGUGCCAAGCUCCAGUCACAGACAGGCCCUCGAGCUGCUGCGUUCUCACAUUUCAGCGAGCAGGAAUGGGCAAAGCUCCAGGGAAAAGGACAUUCUCUCUUGUUGUUUCCAUUCCCCUGCAUUCCUGCCUCCCCUUGACAUGUGGCUCCAGAAGGGUGCAGCCGGAGACGAAGGGAGGAAGAGAUGUGGCGGAUCGGUCCAUCCAGACUGAAUACCUCGGCGUUGCCUUCUAGUAACUAAUCCCAUUGACAGAGACAGACACCUGCUCUCAUAUAAAGCCCUUCUACUCUUUUACAUUUAUGUAAAAGGUCCUUUAUUAUGGCGCCCCUGGAAUGCCGGCACCCCGUAACAUUUGCCUAUGCUGCCAAUGCCACAGGUAGGCCCUGCAUGAUCAACCCACACAAAGUUGUGAAGUGGAAGGACAAUAAAACAGUUUUUAAAAUCG